UACAUGGGGUGCAACCGUUGCUCGGAAUUAUUGGGCGUAAAGCGCGCGUAGGCGGUUACUCAAGUCGGAUGUGAAAGCCCUCGGCUUAACUGAGGAAGUGCACCCGAAACUGAGUAGCUAGAGUACUAAAGAGGGUCGCGGAAUUCCCGGUGUAGAGGUGAAAUUCGUAGAUAUCGGGAGGAACACCAGUGGCGAAGGCGGCUCACUGGUCCGGUACUGACGCUGAGGUGCGAAAGCGUGGGGAGCAAACAGG
rnacentral:rRNA from 1 species